AUGGCUACUUCUAGUGCCGCUUCCGAGGUGGCGAGUUCUCAGUCGCUAAAAAGGAAUUCUGAUGACAUGGCGUGGGAAUUUGCCAUGUUGUGUGAUCCAAAUGAUUUGCAAAGAGUGAAGUGCAAGCUAUGUGGAAAAGAAAUGUCUGGAGGGGUCAAUAGGAUGAAGCAACACAUAGCACAAAUCAGAGGCUCGGUGACAAGUUGUAUGCUUAGUGCAGUUGGUAAAGGUGAUCCCAAAAAUGUUGGGCCUAUGGAUCAAUUUGUGGCACCGGUUGAUCCUAGUGUGCCAUUGAAAAAAUUCCAACGCAACAUCAAUGAUAGUAUCGACAAGGAGAAAGCUACAAAGUGGGGAAAUAUUGGGCUAGAUGGAUGUACAAGAAAAACAUACCCUUCAAUGCUAUCAAUGAUGAUGACUUCAAACAAUUUUGAGGUGGAGAGGACUAGGGAUUUGUUGAAGCCACAUGAGGCUGAGAGGGAGAUCACCGGGUGCUCUGUCAUGACUGAUGCUUGGACAGACAAGAAAAGAAGGAGCAUCAUGAACUUGUGUGUGCAUUGUAAGAUGGGGACAGUUUUUCAUGAAUCAAAGGAGGCAUCGGCUCAUGCACACACAAGUCUCUACAUCUUCAAUUAUGUGGAUGAAUGCAUUGAGAAAAUUGGUACUGAUAAUGUUGUACAAGUAGUCACGGAUAAUGCUUCAAACAACAAGGGAGCAAAAGGGAUGUUGAAAGAAAAAAGGCCGAAGAUAUUUUGGACCUCAUGUGCAACGCACACCCUCAACUUGAUGGUCGAAGCGGUUUUUGAGCCAUUGGUGAAAGUGCUUCGAUUGGCUGAUAGUGAUGGACAGUCGAUGGCCUCUAUGUAUGGAGAAAUAAUAGAGGCAAAGAAGGCAAUAUUGCUUGCGGUUGAAAAUUCAGAGAAGGACUAUAAGAUCAUCACAACAGCCAUGGAGAGCAAGAUGAAUGGGAGGUUAGAUACGCGAGAGUGGUGGGCAACUUAUGGACUACAAACUCCUACGUUGAUGCACAUGGCUUUGAGGAUACUCAACUUGACCACAAGUUCUUCCGGAUGUGAACGGAAUUGGAGUGUUUUUGAACAAGCUAUAGAGCCUCGUAGGAGUGCAAGAGUGAGAGAACUCCAUGAAGUAGAAGAAUUUGUUGCUGAUGAAGAUUCAGAAAAUGAGAUUUCUUUGGAAGAGGAGAUAGAAUUUGAGUCCGAUAAUGAUGAUAUGAUUGCAACAAAUGAGGAUGAGGAUGAGGAUGAGGACACAACACAACCUUAA
rnacentral:rRNA from 1 species